GGAAGCGGAAAGACGAAUUAGGAAAGUCCCCGAUGUUCUCUCUUAAUCUUACCCCUACAGCCCAUCACUCGUACUUCUCCCUCCCCCAGAAAAGGUUCGGCUGCUUUCCGGCGAGGUUUCCGAUCGGUUCCUUCACUGUUCGAUCGUCAUCCAGUCUUCAGGAGGUUGAGAAGUUUACAGAGUCAUCGGCUGAAGGGAAGGAUCUCAAUUCGGAGCUCUACGCUUCGGUUCCGUUGCCUCCGAUCAAGACUUCAAAGAGAGUGGUUCUGGUUAGGCAUGGACAGAGCACGUGGAAUGCGGAAGGUAGAAUUCAAGGAAGCUCCAAUUUCUCUGUUCUCACUAAGAAAGGCGACGCUCAGGCAGAGACCUCCCGCCAAAUGCUCUUCGAUGAUGCAUUUGAUGUUUGCUUCAGCAGCCCCCUAGUGCGAUCAAAGAGAACUGCGGAAAUCAUAUGGGGUGAUCGCGAGGAGGCGAUACUUACGGAUUCUGAACUGAGGGAGAUAGAUUUGUAUUCAUUUCAAGGUCUACUCAAGCACGAAGGCAAGGAAAAAUUUGGUGCCGCUUAUCGUCAAUGGCAGGUAGAUGCGGCAAAUUUCAACAUUGAUGGGCACUAUCCAGUGAGAGAGUUGUGGGCACGUGCUCGAAAUUGUUGGGACAGAAUUCUAGCCCACGAGAGCAGGUCUGUCCUGGUGGUUGCUCACAAUGCUGUCAACCAGGCUCUUGUUGCUACAGCUCUUGGAUUAGGAGCUGAGUACUUCAGGGUGUUACUUCAGAGCAACUGUGGUGUUAGUGUUCUUGAUUUCACUCCACAAGUUGAGGGUGGAUCUCCAAUCAUUUGUUUAAACCGUCUAAAUCAGACUCCAAACUCACCUGUUGCUUCCGGUAGUUCUGGAGGCAGAAAAGCAGCAAAAAGGAUCGCACUUGUUUGCCAUGGAGUUUCCGAGACUAAUGAGGCCAGUUCUUCCUUCCUGGAUGACAAGCCAAUGAACAUGCUUGGAACUAUACAGUCCCAGAAAGUUGCAGAGCUCCUUCUUGAUCUAAAAGUGAGCGCUGUAAUUAGCAGUCCCAAGAGAGCUUGUGUAGAGACGGCUGCAACAAUAUCCAGUGUACAAGAAGCUGCAGAUUGCUUGGGUGCUGAUUGUGUGCCUCGCUAUGUGGAGAUGAAGCAGACGAAUAAACUUGAUGUAGACAAUAUUCUUGAUCAUUUCAAGCAGGAUGUAGGUAACAUGACUGUCUUUGAACCUGGUUGGUUAAACAAAUUGGACGAGGUGAUGAUUACGGAAGUGUGGAAUCAGAGUGGUGAAGCCUGGAAGUCUCUGUUGAAUGAGAUGGCUGAUGAAAAGGAGCCAGAGAAGGUUAUUGUUGUGGUUGGUCAUCCUGCUAUUCUUCUCGGAUUGGUGGGGCGGUGUCUAAAUCUGACAAAAGAUUGGAUUGGAUCAUUCCAUCUGGAUGCUGGAAGCAUUAGUGUGAUUGACUUCCCUGAUGGGUCUAACAGUCGAGGAGUUGUCCGAUGCAUAAAUUACACAGCUCAUCUGGGGAGAUGGUCAAUUCCUAUUACUAGACCAACCGUGGAUGAUGAAGAGUUUUAAUGGCGAAGUUUAAUUUUAAAAAUUCAUCAUCGAGCACAGUCAAUAUUUUACAUUAAUAGAAUAAAAAAUUGGUGUAGGUAAGUGGACAGAAAACACUUGAAGGAACUCAACUUCUUUUGGCGAGGAGCUCAAUACUUAAAUUCACCCGAAUGUUGAUGGUUGAAAUUGCCACGUGCAAGAAAACCUAGGUUUGAAUGAGAAUCUUGAGGCUAUCACCCAGGCGUUGAAAUCAAGUUCGUUGCUUUAUUAGUUGAAUUGUAUAUUUUGAUAUUUUUAUUUGCAUUGUAUUUAUGUUGUGGGUUUUGAAUUGGUUAUUGUAAACGUCAGUAAUUAUAGAAAAUGAUGAGAUGGGCUAAUUACUUGC